UACGUAGGGUGCAAGCGUUGUCCGGAUUUAUUGGGCGUAAAGAGCGUGUAGGCGGCCAGACAGGUCCGUUGUGAAAACUCGAGGCUCAACCUCGAGACGCCGAUGGAAACCGUUUGGCUAGAGUCCGGAAGAGGAGAGUGGAAUUCCUGGUGUAGCGGUGAAAUGCGCAGAUAUCAGGAAGAACACCCGUGGCUAAGGCGGCUCUCUAGUACGGUACUGACGCUGAGACGCGAAAGCGUGGGGAGCGAACAGG
rnacentral:rRNA from 1 species